rnacentral:rRNA from 1 species
UGGGGAAUAUUGGACAAUGGGCGAAAGCCUGAUCCAGCCAUGCCGCGUGUGUGAAGAAGGUCUUCGGAUUGUAAAGCACUUUAAGUUGGGAGGAAGGGCAUUAACCUAAUACGUUAGUGUUUUGACGUUACCGACAGAAUAAGCACCGGCUAACUCUGUGCCAGCAGCCGCGGUAAUACAAAGGGUGCAAGCGUUAAUCGGAAUUACUGGGCGUAAAGCGCGCGUAGGUGGUUUGUUAAGUUGGAUGUGAAAUCCCCGGGCUCAACCUGGGAACUGCAUUCAAAACUGACUGACUAGAGUAUGGUAGAGGGUGGUGGAAUUUCCUGUGUAGCGGUGAAAUGCGUAGAUAUAGGAAGGAACACCAGUGGCGAAGGCGACCACCUGGACUAAUACUGACGCUGAGGUGCGAAAGCGUGGGGAGCAAACA